UUGACAUCACUGCCGACAACACAAAAAAGAGGAAAAAGAAGCCUUCGUUUUUCGCGUUUCAAAGUUCCGUACCGGUAAAUACCAGCACCAAAGUUUUCUCCGAUUGUGGUUUGCCGGACGGCAAUCGGCAGCCGCAAAUCGGAUGUUGAGGACAUAUAUACAGGGACUUUUUCUAGCGAUGAUCGCAACAGCAACAUUUUCGCUGAAGGAGCCAUGCAUCACGUUGAAAGAAGGAGGAGUGAGGAUUCUGGAUCCAGCAGCUGCGACAAUGUUCCGCCCGUGUGUCGUGUGUGAAACCUGGUUUAGGAGCUGAUGAAAACAAAGUCGGAAGGGUAUGGAGUGGUCCUAAACAAGUACUUGUCGUUCCAGGCGGAUCCCCCGGAAUGGUUAGGUUUUUUCCAGGGUCCUGGUCCGUCGGCCUAGCUGUUUACCAGGCAUUCCGUAGCGGCUGUACACCGUUGUGUAAGUACCUAAUAAAAUCUCAAUGAAGAUGA